GUAAAGACAUGGAAAUGUAUUCCCACAUUAUUCUGGUGGGCGACCUAGAACAUGAAUGUAAAGACAGAAAUGUAUUCCCGCAUUAUACUGGUGAGCGACCUAGAACAUAAAGUAUUCCCGCAUUAUACUGGUGGGCGACCUAGAACAUAAAUUAUUCCCGCAUUUUACUGGUGGGCGACCUAGAACAUGAAUGUAUUCCCGUAUUAUACUGAUGGGCGACCUAGAACAGAAAGUAUUCCCGCAUUUUACUUGUGGGCGACCUAGAACAGAAAGUAUUCCCGCAUUUUACUGGUGGACGACCUAGAACAGAAAGUAUUCCCGCAUUUUACUGGUGGGCGACCUAGAACAGAAAGUAUUCCCGCAUUAUACUGGUGGGCGACCUAGAACAUGAAUGUAUUCCCGCAUUACACUGGUGGGCGACCUAGAACAGAAAGUAUUCCCGC
rnacentral:lncRNA from 1 species